rnacentral:rRNA from 1 species
GAUGAACGCUGGCGGCGUGCCUAAUACAUGCAAGUCGAGUGAACAGACGAGGAGCUUGCUCCUCUGACGUUAGCGGCGGACGGGUGAGUAACACGUGGAUAACCUACCUAUAAGACUGGGAUAACUUCGGGAAACCGGAGCUAAUACCGGAUAAUAUAUUGAACCGCAUGGUUCAAUAGUGAAAGACGGUUUUGCUGUCACUUAUAGAUGGAUUCGCGCCGCAUUAGCUAGUUGGUAAGGUAACGGCUUACCAAGGCAACGAUGCGUAGCCGACCUGAGAGGGUGAUCGGCCACACUGGAACUGAGACACGGUCCAGACUCCUACGGGAGGCAGCAGUAGGGAAUCUUCCGCAAUGGGCGAAAGCCUGACGGAGCAACGCCGCGUGAGUGAUGAAGGUCUUCGGAUCGUAAAACUCUGUUAUUAGGGAAGAACAAAUGUGUAAGUAACUAUGCACGUCUUGACGGUACCUAAUCAGAAAGCCACGGCUAACUACGUG